GGGCCUUUAGCUCAGACGGUUAGAGCGUACCCCUGAUAAGGGUGAGGUCGGUGGUUCGAGUCCACCAAGGCCCAUAAAGGAGAUGNGGACGUAGCUCAGCUGGGAGAG
rnacentral:tRNA from 1 species